GACGUAGGGCGCGAGCGUUGUCCGGAUUUAUUGGGCGUAAAGAGCUCGUAGGCGGCUUGUCGCGUCGAAUGUGAAAACCUGCAGCUCAACUGCAGGCUUGCAUUCGAUACGGGCAGGCUCGAGUUCGGUAGGGGGAGACUGGAAUUCCUGUGUGAGCGGUGGAAUGCGCAGAUAUCAGGAGGAACACCAAUAGCGAAGGCAGCUCGCUGGGACGUUACUGACACUGAGGCGCGAAAGCGUGGGGAGCGAACAGG
rnacentral:rRNA from 1 species